ACACACCAGAGCUGAAACUAUGGCUUAUUUGUCAUCUCCUAAACAUCUGUGGGUAAAGCCCCCUGGACUGCCGCUCUUGCCUUGCAGUGUCCAUUUGGCUAUUGAAGUUUGAGUGCCAUCAUGUCACUUCAAUGUUACAAGGUUCCAUCAUCUCUACUGUUCUCAGUGAACCCACUUCUGAAAUGGUAUCUUCUGUCUUCACCCUGGACUACAGAGAGAACCACUGCUGAGUCUUAGAGCGAUGCUGAUUCCUCUCUAACCAGAUAAUGCCUUACUGAUUUGGUAAGUGGUGUAUUCUCU
rnacentral:lncRNA from 1 species